rnacentral:rRNA from 1 species
CGCCCUUAGAGUUUGAUCCCGGCUCAGGACGACCUCUGGCGGCGCGCCUAACACAUGCAAGUCGAACGAGCGAGAGAGAGCUUGCUUUCUCGAGCGAGUGGCGAACGGGUGAGUAACGCGUGAGGAACCUGCCUCAAAGAGGGGGACAACAGUUGGAAACGACUGCUAAUACCGCAUAAGCCCACGGUGCCGCAUGGCACAGAGGGAAAAGGAGCAAUCCGCUUUGAGAUGGCCUCGCGUCCGAUUAGCUAGUUGGUGAGGUAACGGCCCACCAAGGCGACGAUCGGUAGCCGGACUGAGAGGUUGAACGGCCACAUUGGGACUGAGACACGGCCCAGACUCCUACGGGAGGCAGCAGUGGGGAAUAUUGCACAAUGGGGGAAACCCUGAUGCAGCGACGCCGCGUGGAGGAAGAAGGUCUUCGGAUUGUAAACUCCUGUUGUUGGGGAAGAUAAUGACGGUACCCAACAAGGAAGUGACGGCUAACUACGUGCCAGCAGCCGCGGUAAAACGUAGGUCACAAGCGUUGUCCGGAAUUACUGGGUGUAAAGGGAGCGCAGGCGGGAAGACAAGUUGGAAGUGAAAUCUAUGGGCUCAACCCAUAAACUGCUUUCAAAACUGUUUUUCUUGAGUAGUGCAGAGGUAGGCGGAAUUCCCGGUGUAGCGGUGGAAUGCGUAGAUAUCGGGAGGAACACCAGUGGCGAAGGCGGCCUACUGGGCACCAACUGACGCUGAGGCUCGAAAGUGUGGGUAGCAAACAGGAUUAGAUACCCUGGUAGUCCACACCGUAAAC